CUUUCUCCUUCUCCGCCAUCCCGCUGUGCAGCCGUUCGAAGCAAGGGCGACGCUCCCCGUUCCAAAGUGGGGACCGCCCUGUUUUGUACGUCUGCUGCCUCGCAGUCUCACACAUGCGCCUGCCUUGCAUAUUCCUUUUCCGGAUGACGGCUGCGCCCACAGACGUCUGUCCGUGCUUUGCACCCCUGCAGCGGCGGGUGACUGGCGGUGACAAUCUGGUGUGCGGAUGGUGGGCGGCCUACGGCUCCCUGCUGGCAUUGCGGUACCCCCGCCCCGCCAGAGCCCUCGGCCCGCCUGUUUUCCGUAUAGGGGCGCCCUACCCGGCAUUGUGCCGGGUACACUACGCGAGGUUCGCCGGUCGUUCGAGACUCGGAGCAAGCGUCAUUUCCCGCUAGGGCGCUGCACGCGGUGACAUGACUAGGCACGCGUCACCCGCGCUGCAUGGGCUUUCCCCGCUGGGCGUGACUAGCGACCCCCCCCCCCCCCCCCUUCGUUCCAUCUGCCACGGCAGAGGCGGGCGAGCCUGCCAGACACGCCGCCGACGCAUGGCACCGAUGGAAACGCCAGAUGAAGACGGCGAGGCCAUACCCCCUUCCCCACGGCCCGACCCGAGAAGGCCGUCGUGAAACAGGCCCCGGGGUGCGGGGAUGCGGGGACUGCGCGGGCGCGCUGCCACGCACCGCUGGGGCGCGGCGUCCCGGUGGUGGGCAGGGCAAGGGCGGCGUUCGACAGGAAACGGCGCGAAGAGGCGCCGCACGGGACAGCGCCAAAGCGGGCACGCAUGGCGUCAUAGGCGGCAUCGUCUCCAUCCGGCGGGGUGGGCUCCAUGAGGCACCGAUGCCGGAUGCACGACGUGCGCAGCCCGAGGUGCGCGAGCGGGGCUCCUCCAGACCCCCAUGCGGAGAGUCCCCGCCCCGCGCUACGGGAUGCCGCGGGCUGAGGCGACUUGGGGGACGGGGGGGGGAGGGACGCAUGGCAUACAGGCAGGAUGUGCAAGGUCGCACAGGUCCCACCCCCCGGCCUGCGGCUGGUGGCCUUCCUCCCUGAGCGCGUCCUGCAGCGCACCUGGACGGUCCACUGCCUCCGCCCUCGCGCAUGUUACCCCGGACGCGGCCCGCUUUGGCGCGAGGCAUGCAGUCCACGCCGCGUCUCCGUCGGGCGCCGAUGGCGCGGCACGCGGCCGGUGAAGGGGGCGAGGAAGGACAUGCAGAGGCCCAUAGGACGCACGGCCCGGCUCCGCGGCAGGGCGGCUCGUCCUGGACGGCGAGGGUGCAGCUGUGGUGCAUGGGCGGUAGGUGGCCUGAGGCUGUGCACGCGUGCGUUUGGUGACUUUGUCGUGGUGGAACGGCACUCUGAAAUACAUUGAUUUGAAAUUUUUUUGUGUCGCGGGUCUUCUUGAUGGUCUGCAGUGUGUUGUCAUAUUUCCUCAUCCCUCCGCUGUGCUUCGUUGUGUCGCCUUCCAUUUUGGUGGUAGGGUGUUCGAGGAGGGGUAUAGGGUGCCGCCGCUUUCUGGCCACGUCUCUCUUGUGGUACGUGGUGGUGGCGGCCCUUGUGGCAUUGUUGUGUAUGUCUUCCUUAGUACUCGUUGCCUCCUCUUUCUUCUUUCCUGCACCUUCGAGUUGUUCUCCCUCUCUCGUGUGUGCAUGCAGCUGUGGGAUCUACGUAUUGAUUCUCUCGUGUAGGGGGGGGGUGAUCGAUGGUUAGAGGGAGGGGCUGAUUGUUGUUUCGCGUUGUGCCGCGACUCAUUCUGUCUUUCUCCGUACGCGGCGCGCAGACUUUCUCUCUGUCCCGCUCACUGUGGUCCUUUCUAUAGUGUGGUUCUUCUUUAUGCUAUGGGGGGGGGGCGUCUGCGUGUGUCUUGUGUCGUCUCUUUCGUUAGUUCUGUGUCGUGCGUAGGGUGUUGCUGGUGCUCAUUUCUGUGUUGUUUUUUUUCGCCCCGUAUACCGAUUGCCUGCGUUCCGCUCUAUGCCGUCUUGAUUGCUUCCGUGUCACUCACUGCAAUUCUGUUCCGUCGUCGUCCACCGCCUUCUCGUUCCUCCUCCUCUUGAUGCCUCCAUCUUGCCCUCGUAUUCCUCAACGUGGGCGACUCUCCUUUUCCCGUCACCUUAUUCUUUCACCCGAGCUCCAUUCUCUCUCUCCGAUUCGAUGCACACGUCAUCCUUCCCCUCUUGAGGUGUGCUUUUGUUUGAAGCGUGCCUGUUUAGGUCGUUCUCCUUGGUCUCCCGUUGGGGACAGAGGGUUGCGUGCAUGCAAAUGAACGUGACCGUGUAUGGAAGUGUGCGCGUGUACUGCCCCGUUUGAUGUGCUGCAGUACGAACUUGUGCUGCUGCCGUGUUUCUCCUGUGCCCUCCUCGCUUGUUUUUGCCUGUCUUGCUGACGUGGCACCUUUUUUCUGCCUCCCCUCUCAGGUGUCUGUCCUCCCGCGAAUACAUGGUUGUGUUUCUUCCGAGCAUGAAGGGGGUGUGCGCGGAGGUGGGGAAUGGGAGUGAGGGGCGGUGUGAGAAUGAUCCUUACCAAAAGCAAACUCAGUCUUCCCUCGAUUCCAAAUACAAGGCAGUUGCAACUUUCUUUUCCUGUCUCCGCAUUCUCUAAAGAUCGCGCUUAUGUUCUUUUUAUUUUUCUGUCGUUGUGGCUGCAGCAAGGGUCUUCUGUUUUCUUUAGAAGGCCUGCGCGCCUAUGUGCAUUCUGUGCGUGCGUGCGCUCUAGCGAAUAUGCUCAUAGCUUUCGAUAUACAUAUGCUUGUGUGUAUAGGUGUAUGCAUCCACGCAGCUGUACUUGAACUUCUUCCUCCUCCUCGACGUCCGUCAUGCUCGUUUAUUGCUGGUGUACUAUGUAUACAUAUAUAUAUAUAUAUAUGCGUAUAUAUAUAUAUAUGGUGCGUUUCAUUUUUUUUUGAGGGGGCUUGGCUGUUUUUUUUCUGCUUUAUUGAUUUCUUUCGAAGCCUUUACGGCGUGCACAGUAUGCUGUGUCACGUGUGUGGUUUCCUUUCUUUGUGUGUGCUUGCUUCGGUGGUGGUUGCGCGUGUGCGAAUGGGGGUUUGAACGGCGGAUACCGCACAUUUGUUUUUCUUUUCCUUGGCUUCUCUUUUUUUUCGUUGUUGUUUUUCUCUCUGUGCUGAACUUCUUGAGGCGUGUGUGCGAUGGCGCGCCUGUGCUGGCACGUGUGCCUCUUCCCUGUACAUUUUAGUGACAGCAGGGAUUCUUUCCUUGUUUGCUGCAGUGAGUAUGCGCUGGCUGCUCUAGGCAAGGGAGCCGGGUGGAAUGAGGAAAUGCCGUCAAGCGCCCGUGCAUGAGGGCUCCGGCGUGGACGGGUCGGUUUCUCUCCUUGCUGCGGAGGUUUUGCUAUAUCCGAAAGGCGUCAGUGCCCCGUGAUGGGUGACGAAAUUGUGCUUCUCAGGUGUACAUAGGCACACGUAUGUCGAGAGAAGGUGGGGGGACUGUGGGAGUGAGUGGCACGACAGACUCACAAUACGCACCCACACGAAAGCAAAGGAAUUCUCAACGGCACUGACGGCUUUGCAAAAUGGACGCGGAGGUGUCACGCGCAUACAUUCCCCUUUCUCAACUCAGACGAGCUCUUUCUUUCUCCCCCCUUCCUGCGCCUUGAAUUAUCCGAACCACACGGGUGCCUUGCGCGCGUUGAACCCUUCACAGAGAUAUCGAAGAGAUGUGAUGAUUCGGUGGCUAUGAACAAGUAUUGUUCCUCUCCCAUUCGCCUCCUUCACCUCCCUGUCUCCCGCGCUUUCUUCUGCUCUUGUUGGUUCUGCCCCCCCCCCCCUCUCUCUCCUUUCCCUCCUCGUCAAUCUUGCCUUACCCCUUGUUGGCAUCUUUAGCAACUAUCCCAGUCG
rnacentral:misc_RNA from 1 species